rnacentral:rRNA from 1 species
AAAGCGUGCGCAGGCGGUUAUAUAAGACAGAUGUGAAAUCCCCGGGCUCAACCUGGGAACUGCAUUUGUGACUGUAUAGCUGGAGUGCGGCAGAGGGGGAUGGAAUUCCGCGUGUAGCAGUGAAAUGCGUAGAUAUGCGGAGGAACACCGAUGGCGAAGGCAGCCUCCUGGGAUAAUACUGACGCUCAUGCACGAAAGCGUGGGGAGCAAACAGGAUUAGAUACCCCAGU